CAAUCGCUUCUCCGAAUCCAGAUGUGCAAAUUCGGAAUGUCUGCUUGAGCCCCUGGUAUAUGAACCCCUGGCUAGUUUUGAUUGUGGUUGAUGAAUUGCCCAUGCUGAGAAGCUGUGAUUUUAUCAGUGCUACUGUCCUGGGUGUUUUGGGAACUAAGGGAGGGAUCUUGGGGAUGUUAUGAUCAGAAUGAAUGUUGUACAUUUUUAGGGCUGCUUCACUAACAAUAAAUCCACUCUGACCAGCAACCCAAAUAAGGUGUGGCAUAGAGGCUGCGAGGGGUUUGAUUGGUGAGAGCUCUCUGCAUCUAAACAGGCAAAAUUAAAGCUUCUGUUUCUGUUCUGGUGGGGGUAGAAGAGGACGCUUCCUUGCACAAGUUGCAUCUCACUCACAGAGGUUUAACAUGAAGACUGUCCUGCUUGUCACUGCUCUUCUCCUGAUGAAUUUGAUGACUGAAACCUUUGCUACAACGCAAAAAACCACGGUGUCACCCCAAACAAGCCUGGGCACCCCCUGCUGCGUCCCAGCUUCUCUUUUGCUGGUGUUUGCCUUGGCAGCAAUUUACCUCCUCCGAGCAAAAUGAGCCCCCACACUUCACUCCCCAGAGAGAUGCCAACGCUGCCUUCUGCCUGCCACCAGCUCAGCCUCUCCUGCCGGGCACCCCGCUGGAGCCUGCCAAUCCGCGUAACCCAGCCAGCAUAACUGCUCCAGUUCAAGUCUUCCCGCAACACACCCACUGCGCACUUCUCUUCGCAGCCAUCGGCUUCUUUCCCAUCAGAGCCAUUCGUUCCACCACCUGCGAUGGAAUCCCG